rnacentral:rRNA from 1 species
GAUGAACGCUGGCGGCGUGCUUAACACAUGCAAGUCGAACGAGAAGUGAAGACGGAAACCUUCGGGCGGAAGGCUUUAUUUCGAGUGGCGGACGGGUGAGUAACGCGUGGGUAACCUGCCUCAUACAGGGGGAUAACAGUUGGAAACGACUGUUAAUACCGCAUAAGACCACAGCACCGCAUGGUGCGGGGGUAAAAACUCCGGUGGUAUGAGAUGGACCCGCGUUCGAUUAGCCAGUUGGCGGGGUAACGGCCCACCAAAGCGACGAUCGAUAGCCGAUCUGAGAGGAUGACCGGCCACAUUGGGACUGGGACACAGCCCGGACUCCUACGGGAGGCAGCAGUGGGGAAUAUUGCACAAUGGGGGAAACCCUGAUGCAGCGACGCCGCGUAAGUGAAGAAGUAUUUCGGUAAGUAAAGCUCUAUCAGCAGGGAAGAAAAUGACGGUACCUGAGGAAGAAGCCCCGGCUAACUACGUG